GCUUUAUUGUAUUUGGCACAAUACAUUGAAUGAAAUAAAGCUUAUUUAUUAAUAUCUCCAAGAAAUUAUAGAUAUAUACAUACACAUGAGUUAAAACAAACAAACAGGAUGGAGCCUUCACAAAGGUUGCUCAUGUGAAGCCUCAGUACUCGGAAGUACCCCAGAAGGGGGAGGCACUGGAGAUUGAUCAUGUGGCACCCCAGUACUUAGCAAAACACCAGAAGGGGAAAGCAUCAGUUGCUUUCGGAAUCUAGCAACGAACCUCUGGUGAUCACUUUGAAUCCGACUUUCGGAUU
rnacentral:lncRNA from 1 species